rnacentral:rRNA from 4 species
GGAUUUAGUGGCGGACGGGUGAGUAACGCGUGAGAAUCUGGCUUCAGGUCUGGGACAACCACUGGAAACGGUGGCUAAUACCGGAUGUGCCCUUCGGGGUGAAAGAUUAAUUGCCUGAAGAUGAGCUCGCGUCUGAUUAGCUAGUUGGAAGUGUAAUGGACUCCCAAGGCGACGAUCAGUAGCUGGUCUGAGAGGACGAUCAGCCACACUGGGACUGAGACACGGCCCAGACUCCUACGGGAGGCAGCAGUGGGGAAUUUUCCGCAAUGGGCGAAAGCCUGACGGAGCAAUACCGCGUGAGGGAGGAAGGCUCUUGGGUCGUAAACCUCUUUUCUCAGGGAAGAACACAAUGACGGUACCUGAGGAAUAAGCAUCGGCUAACUCCGUGCCAGCAGCCGCGGUAAUACGGAGGAUGCAAGCGUUAUCCGGAAUGAUUGGGCGUAAAGCGUCCGCAGGUGGCAAUGUAAGUCUGCUGUUAAAGAGUCUAGCUCAACUAGAUAAAAGCAGUGGAAACUACAUAGCUAGAGUACGUUCGGGGCAGAGGGAAUUCCUGGUGUAGCGGUGAAAUGCGUAGAGAUCAGGAAGAACACCAGUGGCGAAGGCGCUCUGCUAGGCCGUAACUGACACUGAGGGACGAAAGCUAGGGGAGCGAAUGGGAUUAGAUACCCCAGUAGUCCUAGCCGUAAACGAUGGAUACUAGGCGUG